ACAGAUUUUACUGCCAGCUGCAACCUCCAUCAGCAUAUUUGUUCUGUGUGUUACUGGUGACUCCGGGCAUGAUUCAACUCAUACAGCUCAGGUGCCUUUAAACCUGAAAGGAAAUUACAACCACGUCCUGACACUCCAAACUGCGACUGAAUCUACUCCCAUAGAGCACAAAUGACAGCAUUUAAAAUCUGGGCUCGCUCAAGUUUGUCACCACACACCCAGUCACUGACCUGUUUCCUGACGUCACAGUCGUUUGCUCCACGGACACCCCGGAUCCCACACACAGGAACAGCAGCAAGAACCUCAGGGCAGCGUUUCGUUCCAUUGGGAAGGGAGGUAGUGGCUCCACACGCAGCACAUCUGCGGCUUUGGUCCAGCUCUGCCGCGUGAUGGGGGAGGAUCCACCACCGGAGAAAUCCUCCGUGUGCUGGGAUUUCUCCCCAAGGCAAACACCUGGCACGUUCCAGCUGCCCUGUGAAUGAAUGAGCACACAACCCGGGGAAAGUGCGCCGGGACUGAGCUGCUUGUUAAAAAAAAGAAUACAAUCAGAUGGGCUCUGAAAUCACACUGCAGAGCAUUCCUCAUCUGUACUUAACCCACGCCUCAGAGAAAGGGUAAGGUGCUGCCUACAAACAGCUCUGAAACUUCUUCUAUAUGAUAAUCAGAGGAAGAACUACAUGUAUUUUCAAGACUUACAAUACCUUAUAUUAGUAACCAUACAGAUGUGAAGGCAUAUAUUGCAAGCUUUGAAGUCAAACAUUUGGAAGCAAUUUUCUUUUCUUCA